GCGGGCUUUUGUUGCCACGGCAACAACCCUUGUACCCUUUUUAUCUGAGCUGCCCUGAAAUGGGGAAAUACAUGCAUUUUUAAUAUUAUUAUUAUUUGUCGUUCCUGGUUAAAUAUAAUUCUAAAAUUAUAUCAAAUUAAAUAACCACAAAACAAAAGUUUUUUUUUUUUUUUUCUCCGGGACAUGCUUGGAUACAAGCUGCCUGAGUUAGCUUUAAGCUAACGGCUGCGGCUAACGCUGUUCGUUUAGAGAGCUUGUGAUUUAAGAUGACGUGGAACCACAUGGAUCCAACCCUGAGAGUGAGGGAGAGCAUGAUGAUCACCUGGAGACUCAUCACACAGGUAUACCAGGAUAGGAGGGAGACUCGUGGCUCAAUGAUCAGUUCAGAGGAAAGCAGAUCUGUACCUGGGGAAACUUUGAGAUUGUCAGCAUGCAGUUCGGUGAGAAGAGGAAGGAGGCAGGGAGAAGGAGGAAGAGGAAGCAGCCACAGUGCAGAGAGGACAGAGUAAUGGGAUAUUCCUGCUGUGGAGAAAGUCUGGGUGACGCUGCCUCCUUUUAGGCUCAGGUGGGUUUCACACCCGUAUA